rnacentral:rRNA from 1 species
UACGAAGGGGGCUAGCGUUGCUCGGAAUCACUGGGCGUAAAGGGUGCGUAGGCGGGUCUUUUAAGUCAGAGGUGAAAUCCUGGAGCUCAACUCCAGAACUGCCUUUGAUACUGAGGAUCUUGAGUAUGGGAGAGGUGAGUGGAACUGCGAGUGUAGAGGUGAAAUUCGUAGAUAUUCGCAAGAACACCAGUGGCGAAGGCGGCUCACUGGCCCAUAACUGACGCUGAGGCACGAAAGCGUGGGGAGCAAACAGG